AUGCUAGAGCACUUUUUAAAUGGACUCCCAAACGACAAGGCGACGACUCAUUCAUAUGUCAUCCAUAUCAACUUUCGAUGCCACUUUCUGCGUCUACCACGGUGACCAAGGGUAACGGGGAAUCAGGGUUCGAUUCCUGAGAGGGAGCCUGAGAAACGGCUACCACAUGCAAGUAAGGUA